AAUCGAAACAGCCAAUGGAAUCAGGAAAAUGGAAAAGAGUGUUUCCCCAAAUUCUCACCCACCGUUUGAACUUGUCUGCAAACACACACACUUCUAGUUGGAUUACACGGAGCCGAUCAAUGUUCCUUUGAUGGAACUCUGCAUUACUCGUGGGAUUUUGCACAGACUGUGCAUUAUCCACACCAUGCAAGACAGGCUGGCCCCAUCUACUUUGCGUCGCCAAGGGAACAGGAAAUCAAACGUUCUACCUGAUUAAUGAGGCAGAUCUGCCUGGAAAGGGUGCGGACUGUGUCAUAAGCUUAUUGCACCAUUAUUCCAAGCACCAUGGUUAUGGAGAGAAGAAUGCACAGGCCUUCAUGAAUCCAUCAGCAUCAACACCAUGCUAGUAGGAACACAAAGUUUGCUCUUGACUGGCAUUUUGGUGUUUGGUUUGUCAAGUGAAGUGGAGGGCGAGUGAUGCAGAGAAAAUGCAAGACAUUGCUACAACCGUACGAUCAUCAUAACGGUCGAGUCACAACAUCCCCAUCUCGUGUCUGACAUGGAGAGUCUGGUCAAAUUCUUAGAGUGGCGGUCACACCUUGAAGCCUAGUUAAGGAACAUAAAAAGCAUAACUAAAUACCACAAUUUCUUUGUUUCCAAAGAUGACCCCGGUGUUUUGCAUUGUAAUGAGUAUGCUGACUCUACCAAGGAGUGUUUUGAUCUUUUGUAGUGUGCAAUAAAUAAGAAUGCCAUGCCUCCACUUAAGACCAUUCCAGGGCUCCCUUUAGCAAGACAGUGGUACUUGUAUGAUCACAUUUCGAAAUUGUUCAGGUCUGAGUCAGCAAAAGAGAAAACAUGUCCCAAACCUCUUAUUCCAAAGUAAUUGUUUAUUUGGAAUGUACAGUUUUGAAAAAUAGCUGACAAUUAAUACAUUAAUAAAUGUUGUAUAUAGGGAGUUGUGUGCAGUAAAGCAUUAUUACGUGUAUAUUUGCAUGUAUUGUUGAUUUGCCUGCAAUAAAUGGUUAAUUCUGUCAAUCUUGCAUUAUGAUGUCAUUAUUAUUUUAAUUAACAUGCAUUUCAAGUAUAGCCCAUGUUGUGUGAUUUUUGUUUAUAAAACAAAUAUUUAAAAACCUGGUUCAUGUUUGGAAAUAAUCAAAAAGUGAUACAUUGCAUUGUUUCUAAUUUGUUAGAUUCUUUAAUAACCAGUACAUUGUUAGAACCUCUUCUGUAUAUGAAUAAGUUAUUCAUUUGGUCCAUACUUAUAUAACUAUGUAAUUUGAUUACAUAUAUAUGGAGAUAAUAGUAUUAAUGUUAUUUUAACUGAAAUAAAGUAAUACACAUUGACUUUGCAAUAAUUUUUUUGCAUUUGUCAUGUAUCAAUGUAAGUACAGGGUACAAUUUCAACGUUACUAAUGUUGAACCAGCCUUUAUUCGAAGGCACAUGUUUAUAUUGUAUAAUGUUAAAGACAAAUGGUUACCAUGACGACCAGUUUUUUGCUUCAAAUUAUUAAAAGCUUACAGUG